rnacentral:tRNA from 1 species
AGUGCUGUGGCACAGUAGGUUAAUGUUCUGGCCUGAAGUGCCAGCAUCCCAUAUAUGUGCCGGUUCAAGUCCUGGCUGCACCA